ensembl:lncRNA
AUGUGUGGAUACGUGUCUCUCCUGUCUCACCUGUCUCUCACCUGUCUCUCCUGUCUCACCUGUCUCUCACCUGUCUCUCCUGUCUCUCCUGUCUCACCUGUCUCUCACCUGUCUCUCCUGUCUCACUUGUCUCUCCUGUCUCACCUGUCUCUCCUGUCUCACCUGUCUCUCCUGUCUCUCCUGUCUCACUUGUCUCUCCUGUCUCACCUGUCUCUCCUGUCUCACCUCUCUCACCUGUCUCUCCUGUCUCACUUGUCUCUCCUGUCUCACCUGUCUCUCCUGUCUCACCUGUCUCUCACCUGUCUCUCCUGUCUCACUUGUCUCACCUGUCUCACCUGUCUCUCCUGUCUCACUUGUCUCACCUGUCUCUCCUGUCUCACUUGUCUCUCCUGUCUCACCUGUCUCUCCUGUCUCUCCUGUCUCACCUGUCUCUCACCUGUCUCUCCUGUCUCUCCUGUCUCAUCUGUCUCUCCUGUCUCUCCUGUCUCACCUGUCUCUCACCUGUCUCACCUGUCUCUCCUGUCUCAUCUGUCUCUCCUGUCUCUCCUGUCUCACCUGUCUCUCACCUGUCUCUCCUGUCUCUCCUGUCUCACCUGUCUCUCACCUGUCUCUCCUGUCUCACUUGUCUCUCCUGUCUCUCCUGUCUCACCUGUCUCUCACCUGUCUCUCCUGUCUCUCCUGUCUCACCUGUCUCUCACCUGUCUCUCCUGUCUCACCUGUCUCUCCUGUCUCACCUUCCUCCUGUCUCUCCUGUCUCACCUGUCUCUCACCUGUCUCUCCUGUCUCUCCUGUCUCACCUGUCUCUCACCUGUCUCUCCUGUCUCACUUGUCUCUCCUGUCUCUCCUGUCUCACCUGUCUCUCCUGUCUCACCUGUCUCACCUGUCUCUCCUGUCUCACCUGUCUCACCUGUCUCUCACCUGUCUCUCCUGUCUCACUUGUCUCACCUGUCUCACCUGUCUCACCUGUCUCUCCUGUCUCACUUGUCUCACCUGUCUCACCUGUCUCACCUGUCUCUCCUGUCUCACCUGUCUCACCUGUCUCUCACCUGUCUCUCCUGUCUCACUUGUCUCUCCUGUCUCUCCUGUCUCUCCUGCCUCUCCUGUCUCACCUGUCUCUCCUGUCUCACCUGUCUCUCCUUUCUCACUUGUCUCUCCUGUCUCACCUGUCUCACCUGUCUCUCCUGUCUCACCUGUCUCUCCUGUCUCUCCUGUCUCACUUGUCUCUCCUGUCUCACUUGUCUCUCCUGUCUCACCUGUCUCACCUGUCUCUCCUGUCUCUCCUGUCUCACUUGUCUCUCCUGUCUCACUUGUCUCACCUGUCUCACCUGUCUCACCUGUCUCUCCUGUCUCACUUGUCUCACCUGUCUCUCCUGUCUCACCUGUCUCACCUGUCUCUCCUGUCUCUCCUGUCUCACUUGUCUCUCCUGUCUCACUUGUCUCACCUGUCUCACCUGUCUCACCUGUCUCUCCUGUCUCACUUGUCUCACCUGUCUCUCCUGUCUCACUUGUCUCUCCUGUCUCACCUGUCUCACCUGUCUCUCCUGUCUCACCUGUCUCUCCUGUCUCUCCUGUCUCACUUGUCUCUCCUGUCUCACUUGUCUCACCUGUCUCACCUGUCUCUCCUGUCUCACUUGUCUCACCUGUCUCUCCUGUCUCACUUGUCUCACCUGUCUCACCUGUCUCUCCUGUCUCUCCUGUCUCUCCUGUCUCACUUGUCUCACCUGUCUCUCCUGUCUCUCCUGUCUCUCCUGUCUCUCCUGUCUCACUUGUCUCACCUGUCUCACCUGUCUCACCUGUCUCUCCUGUCUCUCCUGUCUCACCUGUCUCUCCUGUCUCACUUGUCUCUCCUGUCUCACCUGUCUCACCUGUCUCUCCUGUCUCACCUGUCUCUCCUGUCUCUCCUGUCUCACUUGUCUCUCCUGUCUCACUGUCUCUCCUGUCUCUCCUGUCUAA